CCAGAGCAGAGAUGACGCUCAACGAGCAAUCAACAAAUUGAACGGUUAUGGUUAUGAUAACCUCAUCCUCAGGGUUGAAUGGGCUACUCCAAGACCAACCUAGAAAGAAAUGUCUGAUGAGACCUUAAAACUCUUCUCAUUCUCGUCUUUCCUGUUAUGGAUUUUUUUCUAUCGACCAUUUUGUUUGUUGGUUUGGUUAUAUGCGAAUAGAUGAGAAGUUGUUCAACCUCUCUUUAAUACAUAAGGCUUUGU
rnacentral:lncRNA from 1 species